CUCAUGCAGUCGAGCGGAUGAAGAGAGCUUGCUCUCUGAUUCAGCGGCGGACGGGUGAGUAAUGCCUAGGAAUCUGCCUGGUAGUGGGGGACAACGUUUCGAAAGGAACGCUAAUACCGCAUACGUCCUACGGGAGAAAGCAGGGGACCUUCGGGCCUUGCGCUAUCAGAUGAGCCUAGGUCGGAUUAGCUAGUUGGUGAGGUAAUGGCUCACCAAGGCGACGAUCCGUAACUGGUCUGAGAGGAUGAUCAGUCACACUGGAACUGAGACACGGUCCAGACUCCUACGGGAGGCAGCAGUGGGGAAUAUUGGACAAUGGGCGAAAGCCUGAUCCAGCCAUGCCGCGUGUGUGAAGAAGGUCUUCGGAUUGUAAAGCACUUUAAGUUGGGAGGAAGGGCAUUAACCUAAUACGUUAGUGUUUUGACGUUACCGACAGAAUAAGCACCGGCUAACUCUGUGCCAGCAGCCGCGGUAAUACAGAGGGUGCAAGCGUUAAUCGGAAUUACUGGGCGUAAAGCGCGCGUAGGUGGUUUGUUAAGUUGGAUGUGAAAGCCCCGGGCUCAACCUGGGAACUGCAUUCAAAACUGACAAGCUAGAGUAUGGUAGAGGGUGGUGGAAUUUCCUGUGUAGCGGUGAAAUGCGUAGAUAUAGGAAGGAACACCAGUGGCG
rnacentral:rRNA from 1 species